rfam:Triticum urartu cultivar G1812 contig1007374, whole genome shotgun sequence.
CAGAUACUCCCUCUGUCCCAAAUUACUUGUCGCAAAAAUGGAUAAAAAUGGAUGUAACUAGAACUAAAAUACGUCUAGAUACAUCCAUUUCUUCGACGAGUAAUUCCAGACGGAGGGAGUAGAUA